rnacentral:rRNA from 1 species
GGACCCGCACAAGCGGUGGAUGAUGUGGUUUAAUUCGAUGCAACGCGAAAAACCUUACCUACCCUUGACAUGCCAGGAAUCCCGCAGAGAUGUGGGAGUGCUCGAAAGAGAACCUGGGCACAGGUGCUGCAUGGCCGUCGUCAGCUCGUGUCGUGAGAUGUUGGGUUAAGUCCCGCAACGAGCGCAACCCUUGUCAUUAGUUGCUACGAAAGGGCACUCUAAUGAGACUGCCGGUGACAAACCGGAGGAAGGUGGGGAUGACGUCAGGUCCUCAUGGCCCUUAUGGGUAGGGCUACACACGUCAUACAAUGGCCGGUACAGAGGGCUGCCAACCCGCGAGGGGGAGCCAAUCCCAGAAAACCGGUCGUAGUCCGGAUUGCAGUCUGCAACUCGACUGCAUGAAGUCGGAAUCGCUAGUAAUCGCGGAUCAGCUUGCCGCGGUGAAUACGUUCCCGGGUCUU